CCAGGUCUCAGUGCUGUGUCCCCCCAGAGCCUAGAGGAUGUUUCAUGGGAUCCCAGCCACUCCGGGCAUAGGAGCCCCUGGGAACAAGCCGGAGCUGUAUGAGGUGAGUGGUGGGUGCCCACCCGGCCGGCAUUGGCCAACAGCAAAUGCCUGUGUGGCCUCACCAGGGUCCUGCAGCCCCUGUUGGCACUGGCCCACAGAGCCCGCUCUCUCCGGCAGGAAGUGAAGUUGUACAAGAACGCCCGGGAGAGGGAGAAGUAAGUCCAGGCGCCCAGGCUGUCCCAACACACCCAUGCGCAUCUGGCUGCCCUGGGGCAGCCCCUCCAGACCCACCCCAAACUGAGGGGUGGGAGGACGCAGGGUCAGUCUGGGGAACUGUUCCUGAGGCACUCCAGGAUGGAGCGAGAGGUGGGCAGAGCGCCCGCAGUGGCACCUCCAGGCAGGGGGUAGCACUCUGGGCUCUAGGCUUGGCACCCCGGGGCCUGGCCCGAUAGACAGGUGUGUCCUCAGGUACGACAACAUGGCAGAGCUGUUUGCGGUGGUGAAGACAAUGCAAGCCCUGGAGAAGGCCUACAUCAAGGACUGUGUCUCCCCCAGCGAGUAAGAGCCCACGUCCUGGGAGGUCUGUUCCUGCCCUGGGGGGCUCGGGUGCUCCAUAGGCAGCAAGAGCAGGUGUCUGUCAGGCUGGGAGGCACCCACUUGUGUGGGGCCCACCCAGCGUGAGGAGGGUGCCCCUGGGUCUCAGCCAGGGAAGUCCUGGGGGCUGGUGAGGGAGGCGGGCAGAGGCGCAGCUCCUGGGGUGUCAUCCGGCCCACUCCCCCACCCUCAUCCCCCAGCACAGGCAACCUUAAAAAACGGUCGAGAGGCUUGGGGAUGUCCCAGGAUCUUUUGGGGGGGCUUUGUUCAAUGAAGUGACAAGACCGUCACAGGCCACCCCACAGGACCAUGAGCUGUGGAUGCGGCCAUCACAACAGAGGGCUGGUCGCUGUGGUUCAGAGGGUGGGCAGGGGUUGGGGGCCGGGGCCUCCACCUGGAGCUGAGCUACAAGCCCCACUACGUGCUCAGGGCCUCACCCCCAAAAGCUACUAGCAGCCCCUCCUCCUUGCUCGGCCUGCCUUUGCCUGUCGCCUGGUCCUCUCUGGAAGCUGCUCUGCCUCUGGACCAGCCGAGGGGGUAGGAUGAGCUGGGUGGGGCUGGUCCCAUGCUUGGGCAGCAGCUGACUUCUCCCUAGGUACACUGCAGCCUGCUCCCGACUCCUGGUCCAAUACAAAGCUGCCUUCAGGCAGGUCCAGGGCUCAGAAAUCAGCUCUAUUGACGAAUUCUGCCGCAAGUUCCGCCUGGACUGCCCGCUGGCCAUGGAGCGGAUCAAGGAGGACCGGCCCAUCACCAUCAAGGACGACAAGGGCAACCUCAACCGCUGCAUUGCAGACGUGGUCUCGGUGCGCCCCAGCCCCCAGGGCACGUGGUUAGGAGGGCCGAGGCUGCCUGCUGCAGCUGGGCACGAGCGUAGGGUCCUGGGCCUCCAGAGCUGAGCAGCACUCUGACUUGCUGGGCAGAAGGGAACCCCUUUAACUAGGAAUGAGGGGUGGGCAGCAUGCGGGGACGCCCCCAGGCCACCUGGACUCCUGUCGGGGGGAUGAGCACAGGGUGCGUUCUGGCGGAGUCCUGGCCUCGGGAGAGAGUGUGGGUGUGGGCCCACCCUUCAGUUCCCACACAGCUGUCUGGGCAGCCAGGACCUCGUUCACCCAGGAGGCCUGCAGGGUUUGGGAACAGAGUGCAGUGAGGAGGCCCAAGUGACAGCUAUGGCUGAGGAGGGGUUGGGGCCCGUGAGCCGUGGGGCCUCCCGCACCCCUGGACACGCGAGCCUCAUGUGCACACCCGCCCCCAGCUCUUCAUCACGGUCAUGGACAAGCUGCGCCUGGAGAUCCGCGCCAUGGAUGAGAUCCAGCCCGACCUGCGAGAGCUGAUGGAGACCAUGCACCGCAUGAGCCACCUCCCACCCGACUUCGAGGGCCGCCAGACGGUCAGCCAGUGGCUGCAGACCCUGAGCGGCAUGUCGGCGUCAGAUGAGCUGGACGACUCACAGGUGCGUCAGAUGCUGUUCGACCUGGAGUCAGCCUACAACGCCUUCAACCGCUUCCUGCAUGCCUGAGCCCGGGGCGCCAGCCCUUGCACAGAAGGGCAGAGUCUGAGGCGAUGGCUCCUGGUCCCCUGUCCGCCACACAGGCCCUGGUCAUCCACACAACUCACUGUCUGCAGCUGCCUGUCUGGUGUCUGUCUUUGGUGUCAGAACUUUGGGGGCCGGGCCCCUCCCCACAAUAAAGAUGCUCUCCGAC
rnacentral:sRNA from 1 species